AUUGAACGCUGGCGGCAGGCUUAACACAUGCAAGUCGAGCGCGCGGCGGACGGGUGAGUAAUGUCUGGGAAACUGCCUGAUGGAGGGCGCUAACUACUGGAAACGGUAGCUUAUCCCGCACACCAUAAGAUGCGCCGAGAUGGGAUUAGAUAGUAGGUGGGGUAAUGGCUCACCUAGGCGUCGCGCCCUAGCUGGUCUGAGAGGAUGACCAGCCACACUGGAACGGAGACACGGUCCAGACUCCUACGGGAGGCAGCAGUGGGGAAUAUUGCACAAUGGGCGCAAGCCUGAUGCAGCCAUGCCGCGUGUGUGAAGAAGGCCUUCGGGUUGUAAAGCACUUUCAGCGAGGAGGCGUUACUCGCAGAAGAAGCACCGGCUAACUCCGUGCCAGCCGCCGCGGUAAUUC
rnacentral:rRNA from 1 species